UCAAUAAUAAUUUCCAUUGCCAAUAAUAAUAAUAAAAAGGAAAAAAAAUCAACCUAAGUUCUUGAUAUCUAAGCCAAGUGGAGUUGUUCAAUAUUAGUAGAAAUGAUGAAAAUGAAAGAAAAAUCAAGUCUGUCAACUUUUAUUUUCUCAUUUCUUUCUGGAUAUGAUGCAUGCUGGUUAAUUGUAUUUAUGUAUUUACAUAUUUUAUAAAGAUCAUUGAGUCAUUGCCUCGUUUGUUUGAACUUUGAACCAUAUUAUUUUAGUUUGUGAUUUCAUUCUAUUGUAGAUUGUGUGUAUCUGGGUCUGGUUUUUCUGACCAAUUUGAGUGUUGUUGAUUUGUCUGGAUUUUUUUGUACAUAUGUUUUUUUUUCUGUUCAUUGGGUGAUAUCAAAUAAAAGAAAGCUCGUGAUUUUAUUUUAUUGUUCAUUGGGGUGUAUCAUGGGAUCCGUUUAUUUCAUUUUUUUUUGUUUUUCUGAUGCAUUCUUUCUGCCUGACCAUUCAAGUAACGAAAAUAGCAUUUAUAAUUUAUUCCAUUGUUUGAAGAAGUUUAAAUAUAUUUGCGUAAAUUGGUAAGCAAUGAAUAAAUUUUGCAACUUCAGAAAGUAGACCAAUGUUAUUCAGAUUAUAUAUAUAUAUAUUCAUAUAAAUGGGGUGAUAGUCUAUAAAAUCCGAGCUCACUGUGCAAGCUGAGCCAAUCAUGGACCCUUAUGGCCCUUCUAUAGUUGAUGAAAAUUUGGAAGCUAUAGUGGUCAGUAAGGAGACUUUACCAGGUGGAGUUUCAGUCAAUAAAAAGAGAGUUGAAAAAGGGCUUUCACAACUAAAGCUUAAAACAAUGGCCAUGAGUACUUAUCCCCAAAAAAAUCAGAGCUCUAUCUCGCCGUUCUCCUGACUCCGCUACUCUCUCCAUCUUGCUGUCAUCUCUUGGUUUUUCGAGGUACUCUUGCUCGUCUUUGGUGUGUGUGGCGUCGUCUCCGGUGGUGGCUGUUCUCUCAUCUUGUUAAAGGUUUGGCUGUUCUUGGACUUAGUGUUACAAAUAGCAUUUGUUUAUACUAUGUACAUUUGCUUUUGUUGAUUUGUUUAUACUAUCUAGUAUUUUACAAAUUUUUAGUAACGUACUUUAUUAGAAUAUAUAAAGCUGCUAAUGUUUCCAUUUGCACAAGUGUGGAGGUUGUGCAACUAUUGAAAUUGGUUUUGCAGCUUUUGAAUUUCAAAGCUGGGAUGAUUAGUUUUUAUCUAUUUAAAAUAGUAUAGAUUUGUUAAGGAUUAAUAUAUAUGUAAUCACUGUAACUUUGUGAUUUGGAGAGGGCUAUACAAGGGUCUCGUUAUUAGAACUUGAGAAUU